rnacentral:tRNA from 1 species
GGGAGUGGUUGAAUCCCGGUGGAUUCCCCGGUCUUCAAAACCGGUGGUGGGUCGCGUUGCGAGCCAUGGUGGGUUCGACUCCCAUCCGCUCCCG